rfam:Brugia malayi, FR3, WGS project CAPY01000000 data, contig: ctg1510357
AUUUGUGACAAUGCCACGUUGAAAGCACGACAUCUCGUCGGGUCUGUCAAGUUAAGCAACGUUGGGCCUGGUUAGUACUGGAUCGGAGACGGCCUG